rnacentral:rRNA from 1 species
GCAAGUCGAACGGUAACGACACUAGCUUGCUAGUGGUCGACGAGUGGCGGACGGGUGAGUAACGCGUAGGAAUCUACCUAGUAGUGGGGGAUAGCCAAGGGAAACUUUGGGUAAUACCGCAUACGAUCUAAGGAUGAAAGGGGGCCUCCCUUUGAAGCUCUCGCUAUUAGAUGAGCCUGCGUAAGAUUAGCUUGUUGGUGGGGUAAUGGCCCACCAAGGCGACGAUCUUUAGCUGGUCUGAGAGGAUGAUCAGUCACACUGGAACUGAGACACGGUCCAGACUCCUACGGGAGGCAGCAGUCGGGAAUAUUGGACAAUGGGGGAAACCCUGAUCCAGCCAUGCCGCGUGUGUGAAGAAGGCCCUAGGGUUGUAAAGCACUUUUAGUAGUGAGGAAGGCUCAGUAGUUAAUACCUACUGGGAUUGACGUUAGCUACAGAAAAAGCACCGGCUAAUUUCGUGCCAGCAGCCGCGGUAAUACGAAAGGUGCAAGCGUUAAUCGGAAUUACUGGGCGUAAAGCGCGCGUAGGCGGCUUGGUAAGUUGGAUGUGAAAGCCCCGGGCUCAACCUGGGAACUGCAUCCAAAACUGCCUAGCUAGAGUAUGGUAGAGGAUGGCGGAAUUUCCUGUGUAGCGGUGAAAUGCGUAGAUAUAGGAAGGAACAUCAGUGGCGAAGGCGGGCAUCUGGACCAAUACUGACGCUGAGGUGCGAAAGCGUGGGGAGCAAA